UCUCGAUAGCGUAAAAGUUAACUCAAAUUUGUAUGGAGUUGGAACGUUAGCCUACGUUCGCCGCUAGGGGCGCUGUUCCAAUUGCAUUCAAAUGUGUGUUAACUUUUACGCUAUCGA
rnacentral:pre_miRNA from 9 species